rnacentral:rRNA from 1 species
GUUUGAUCAUGGCUCAGAUUGAACGCUGGCGGCAGGCUUAACACAUGCAAGUCGAGCGGGGGAAGGUAGCUUGCUACUGGACCUAGCGGCGGACGGGUGAGUAAUGCUUAGGAAUCUGCCUAUUAGUGGGGGACAACAUCUCGAAAGGGAUGCUAAUACCGCAUACGUCCUACGGGAGAAAGCAGGGGAUCUUCGGACCUUGCGCUAAUAGAUGAGCCUAAGUCGGAUUAGCUAGUUGGUGGGGUAAAGGCCUACCAAGGCGACGAUCUGUAGCGGGUCUGAGAGGAUGAUCCGCCACACUGGGACUGAGACACGGCCCAGACUCCUACGGGAGGCAGCAGUGGGGAAUAUUGGACAAUGGGGGGAACCCUGAUCCAGCCAUGCCGCGUGUGUGAAGAAGGCCUUAUGGUUGUAAAGCACUUUAAGCGAGGAGGAGGCUACUUUAGUUAAUACCUAGAGAUAGUGGACGUUACUCGCAGAAUAAGCACCGGCUAACUCUGUGCCAGCAGCCGCGGUAAUACAGAGGGUGCGAGCGUUAAUCGGAUUUACUGGGCGUAAAGCGUGCGUAGGCGGCUUAUUAAGUCGGAUGUGAAAUCCCCGAGCUUAACUUGGGAAUUGCAUUCGAUACUGGUGAGCUAGAGUAUGGGAGAGGAUGGUAGAAUUCCAGGUGUAGCGGUGAAAUGCGUAGAGAUCUGGAGGAAUACCGAUGGCGAAGGCAGCCAUCUGGCCUAAUACUGACGCUGAGGUACGAAAGCAUGGGGAGCAAACAGGAUUAGAUACCCUGGUAGUCCAUGCCGUAAACGAUGUCUACUAGCCGUUGGGGCCUUUGAGGCUUUAGUGGCGCAGCUAACGCGAUAAGUAGACCGCCUGGGGAGUACGGUCGCAAGACUAAAACUCAAAUGAAUUGACGGGGGCCCGCACAAGCGGUGGAGCAUGUGGUUUAAUUCGAUGCAACGCGAAGAACCUUACCUGGCCUUGACAUACUAGAAACUUUCCAGAGAUGGAUUGGUGCCUUCGGGAAUCUAGAUACAGGUGCUGCAUGGCUGUCGUCAGCUCGUGUCGUGAGAUGUUGGGUUAAGUCCCGCAACGAGCGCAACCCUUUUCCUUACUUGCCAGCAUUUCGGAUGGGAACUUUAAGGAUACUGCCAGUGACAAACUGGAGGAAGGCGGGGACGACGUCAAGUCAUCAUGGCCCUUACGGCCAGGGCUACACACGUGCUACAAUGGUCGGUACAAAGGGUUGCUACACAGCGAUGUGAUGCUAAUCUCAAAAAGCCGAUCGUAGUCCGGAUUGGAGUC